GACGAACGCUGGCGGCGUGCUUAACACAUGCAAGUCGAACGGAAAGGCCCUGCUUUUGUGGGGUGCUCGAGUGGCGAACGGGUGAGUAACACGUGAGUAACCUGCCCUUGACUUUGGGAUAACUUCAGGAAACUGGGGCUAAUACCGGAUAGGAGCUCCUGCUGCAUGUUGGGGGUUGGAAAGUUUCGGCGGUUGGGGAUGGACUCGCGGCUUAUCAGCUGGUUGGUGGGGUAGUGGCUUACCAAGGCUUUGACGGGUAGCCGGCCUGAGAGGGUGACCGGCCACAUUGGGACUGAGAUACGGCCCAGACUCCUACGGGAGGCAGCAGUGGGGAAUAUUGCACAAUGGGCGGAAGCCUGAUGCAGCAACGCCGCGUGCGGGAUGACGGCCUUCGGGUUGUAAACCGCUUUCGCCUGUGACGAAGCGUGAGUGACGGUAAUGGGUAAAGAAGCACCGGCUAACUACGUG
rnacentral:rRNA from 1 species